rnacentral:rRNA from 1 species
UACAGAGACUGCGAGCGUUAUUCGGAUUCACUGGGCGUAAAGGGUGCGCAGGCGGCCAAAUGUGUGAGGCGUGAAAGCCCGGGGCUUAACCCCGGAAUUGCACCUCAAACUAUUUGGCUAGAGCAUUGGAGAGGGAAGCGGAAUUCACGGUGUAGCAGUGAAAUGCGUAGAUAUCGUGAGGAACACCAGAGGCGAAGGCGGCUUCCUGGACAAUUGCUGACGCUCAGGCACGAAAGCGUGGGGAGCGAACAGG